rnacentral:lncRNA from 1 species
AGUGACACCUCUUUCCUUCCGCUUAACUCUUUGUAAUUAUUUCCAGGAGGCGACAGCGAGCGAUUUGUUUUUUGUUUUCUGCGUGUUUUGAGUGAUGCGCGUGAAAUUAAAUUUUUAUGAAUGAUUCCAAACAUAACAUGGAAACAAAAAUUGUGGCCAGUAAGCGUCAGAAAUGAAUUUCCCCAGCAAAAGUCGCAUUGACAUCCGUCGUUUUAGCUAUACCUUAACCAGUGCUCGGUCAGUGUUAGCUAGCUUGUAACGUUUUUGCCAACCAGCAGUUUUACAGCUCCACUGAGGAGACGCCAGUGGAAGGAGCUUGUAAUUAAGGAGUGUCUCUGUACCAGUAGCAAGGCAGAGACGUCAGGAAAGGAACUUCAUGGAGCCACAAGGUUGAAGGUGAACCAUUGGCUGGCAAGACUGCUGCUGGCAUUCCUAGAGGCUACUGGAACUUCUCCUGGGUAGCAGAGGAUGAGCUGAGCUUCCCCAAGGACGCAGUGCCCAUGUCAGAUCACAGAUGCCCUGGCAAUAACAAAAUAUGUGACCAGCGCAUAGGGGCUAACCCAGAGUUCACAUGGAGCGUAGUGGCUGCUUGGAACCCACGGGAUCAAGGCAACGCGAAGGCUGAAAAGAAGGAAGGAAGUCCCCAGGGGUGGGAGGAAGGUAAGACUGAAGGUCAGUUCCUCUGGGUGAACAGUUCAGCUUUUGGAGGCCCCUGGGUGCUGAGUCCAUGGCUGUGGGGGGGCAAGCGUGUCUGUGGCCUGGACAUGGCCGUGUUCCUCCACCCCAAGCAAAGUGGGCAAUACACCAUUUGGCUCAUAGAGCGAGACAAGCCGCCACAACCCCUCCUGUCUACCGACGCCCUGCCACGUAUGACAGGCUGGGCGGUGGUCCACCUCACCCUGGGAACACACGGGGGCUCGCCCUUUCGGAUCUCAGCCAGCUACGACCAGCGGAUCCCCCAGGAUACCACAGCCACCAUCGAACCUCGCUUCACCACCAACUGUACUAUAGGUAAGUCAGCGCCUCCAUACUCUAGACACAGUGGCAUUGCUUUUUUGGUGUUGUUGCU